CGCUCGGUAUUUCCCCGCCCACCUCCCUGGCCCCGCCCCACCCGGGCCUUCUCCAAGCUCCCUGAAGGGCAGCACCUGGGCUGAUUCCUGGGCAUGGAUCCUCCCAGGCCUGAUGGUGGCGGCGCGGAAGUCACAGGUGGGCUGGCCACCCUGUCCUCCUCCUCUCACUGUGUUUGAGCCAUCAGGGCCCCACCGCCCACCGCUCGGUAUUUCCCCGCCCACCUCCCUGGCCCCGCCCCACCCGGGCCUUCUCCAAGCUCCCUGAAGGGCAGCACCUGGGCUGAUUCCUGGGCAUGGAUCCUCCCAGGCCUGAUGGUGGCGGCGCGGAAGUCACAGGUGGGCUGGCCACCCUGUCCUCCUCCUCUCACUGUGUUUGAGCCAUCACCACCUUGUAUAGAUGUCCAGAGACGCACAGAUUCUCCGGACGCGUGCGCGGCGCACACUCACGCACACAACCUCGCGCAGACACAACGCACCUGCGCACAAAGCACUUUGUGACCAUGUGAGAAGCAGAACACGGUUUGGCGUUGGGCGAAGGCCGGAACUCAGCCGGCCCUUGCUUCUGCCGCUGGGUCGGAAGCCAUGGUCUCGGCGGAGGCGGCGGAGGAAGGAGAACCUUGGGCGCGGGCUGCGCCACCGCAAGUCCAGGCCGCAGACCAGGACCUGGAAACCGGGUUUCCAGACACCGCCUGACCUCGCCAUGUGUGCUCGGGUUUGGUCCAUGGAGCCACAAGGCCACUAGAGGAGCUGGUGCGUGAGAGCUGCCAUACCAGACAAAUCUCCAGCUGAGCUCCUGCUACCCAUCCCACACCUUGGGGUCUUCAUCUAUAGAUGUGGAAAAGACUACUUAUUACUGUGAGUUGUUAUGGGCUUAGUGCCAAUGGAUAAAUACUGCUGCUGUUGUUUUAUUAUGCAAAUCUCAAGGCACUGUCGCAUUCUCAAGCUGGUACAUAAUGAAAAUCAAGGAGUCACUAAUGCAUUCUUCAUCGCACCUUGACAUGACUUUUAUGUGACAUUCAGCUGGAGCAGUUGCGAUCCGCUCUUCAUUUGCUAUUCUGAGCUUGGAGUGCAGGGCAACUAGCUCAUCAAUUCAAUGAGUUGAUUCUUCUAUUUAAAAUGAGCAUUCUGUUUGUGAGAAGGCCACGGGUUCCUGCUUGCACCUGGUAUCUCAAGGUUGAGCAGUGAACUGGCCAAGGCUCUGGUGGGGUCAUGGAAUUUCUCAAAUCUAUUAAGACUGUGUGAACUUGCAUCUAUUUGGAGACACUUGGAAGGUGAAUUAAGCAAGAGCUCAGAUUUCCCAGUGAGCAACUGUAGAAUUUUAAUUAGCUUUGAGUCUGUUUCUCUGCUGGAAAUAGCAGAUCUCUGAGCAUUUCUUCAAUAGCAUUACAGUAAUUAUAACAAUUCUGCAGGGAAUAAUUUACAGGAUGUAUUUUUGUAAGCUUAGCAGAAUAAGAAAGGCCACAUCCAGUUCUUAUAUGCAUGCCUGAAGUUGCUGUCAAAUAGAGGUUUAACAGUGUUAGCAGGAGAGUCAAUCAUUUGGUUUAUGCUGUGGCAGUGUUGUACAACGGGACUUUGCGAUAGUAGAAAUGUUAAGUACCUGUGGCCACCAACCACACGUGGCUGCUGAGCACUUGAAAUGUGGUUAGAUGCAUCAAGGACUGAAUUCCUAGCUACACUUCAUUUUAAUUAUAUGAAAUUUAAAUAUGCAGCUAGUGGCUCCUACAUUGGAAAGCACAGCACUGAGAAACUAACUGGGGUUCCCUUAAGCCACCUGGAGCCUGCCGGGGGGCCAGGAGGGAACCUGAGUGGCACUGAGGGAGCCCCUCAGCCCUUGUACUAGUGUUCAGUGGAAGUUGGGUUCUCUCAUUUAUUAUCCUCUGACUAUUGAAAGCAUCAAAUUAGAGAGAUGGGUACAAAGGCAACAAAACAAAAUGAAACAAUUUAAAAGCAGACCAGGACUCAACAAGGAAAAACAGUGUAGGAUCCUUGAGCACGUGAUCAAGGAGCCUUAUCGCUCCAAAGCAUAGAACUUGUGUUAUGGUUUAGAUCUACAAUGUCCUCCACAGGCUUGUGCAGAGGUUGGGCUUUUAGAAGGUGAUGGGAACAAGGAGGCAUUGCACUCUUCGGUGAAUCAACCCACUAAAUAGUCCGUGGCAGUCAGGGCCUGCUUGAAGAAAGGUCACGGGAGGUGUGACCAGGAAGGCUGCAUCUCCUUCCCCGCCCCACACUUCACUCUCUGCUUCUGGCCGCCAUGACUGAGCAGCUCCCGUGCCCUUCCUGCCUUGGAGCCAGCAGACUCUGGACUGAAUCCUCUGAAAGCUUCAAACCAGAGUAAACCUCUCCUCCUUUAAACUGUGGGUGUCUGGUCUUUUGUCCCAGCAAUGAGUGAGAAGGUGACUAAGAUAACUUGAUGUCUUUGGCCACCAAGAAAAUGUUAAGAGCUCAGGGACAUGUGCUUUAGGAGGACAUGGAGAAAAAAUGAACACGCCACGUCUAAACCUUGGUCCGUUGAAGGUGAUAAAGAUACGAACAGUUUUGGUGCACAAAAGCAUGAGUUUGGGUUACCCGGAGA
rnacentral:lncRNA from 1 species